rnacentral:rRNA from 1 species
GACGAACGCUGGCGGCGUGCUUAACACAUGCAAGUCGAACGAAGUGGCGAACGGGUCAGUAACGCGUAAUCAACCUGCCCUUCAGAGGGGAACAACAGUUGGAAACGACUGCUAAUACCGCAUACUGAUGAGGGGGAUUGCGGCGGAUUAGCUCGGUGGGGGGGUAACGGCCCACCAAGGCGAUGAUCAGUAGCCUGGCUGAGAGGAUGAACGGCCAAAUUGGGACUGAGACACGGCCCAGACCUCUUCGGGAGGCAGCAGUGGGGAAUCAUCCGCAAUGGACGAAAGGCCGACGGCGCAACGGCGCGGGAGGGAUGACGGCCUUCGGGUUGUAAAGCUCUGUUAAUCGGGACGCGGUACCGGAAUAGAAAGCCACGGCUAACUACGUGCCAGCCGCCGCGGUAAUUC